CAAGCCGCAGGACUCUGUACAAACGCCUUGAAGACAAAGAAUGAAAAUAGGCCUUGUAAGGAAAGGUGAAAGAAGUUGGAGCUGGUGAGCAUGGAGAAGAGAAGGAUAAGACAAAAAUGGGCAGAAGGCCUAAAUAGAAGUUGCUCCCGUGAAGACACACAGAUGGCCAGCAGGCCCACGAAAAGAUGCUCAACACCGCUAAUCAUCAGACAAGCGCAAAUCGGAACGACAGUGAGAGAGGUGCUGGUGUCAAAGCCUGCUAAAGAAGAAAUUUUAAAAGUCUAGAUGAUGUGACAAAAACGACCCACGUCGUUAAAAAGAGGCCAACUCACUCGAGAAUAUUUUUUAAACUGUAUGACCACCUGGAUAAAGAACACAUAAAUCUGCUACAAACAGAAAUCCAGUGGCUUAGCAGGAGCUUGGGCUAAAAGAUGAAUCAGAAUCCCAAAGAAAACAUUUUGACUUCAAGUGGCAAGUUUCUUGAACUCAAAAAGAAAUGGAAUCUUCUGACAAAUCAUGUUGCAAAAGGAAAUACUGACAUGUUUCCACUGUUUGCGUUUGAAGGUGAGGAAGAGCCUCUGCAAGUCUCAUGAUGAGACGUGGGAGAACCACAGAACCACACGGAUGGUAUGCUCCCUCCCUGUAAACACAGGGGGUAACUUGGGCAACUGACACUCACUGAAUCUUCUGCUCAGCCUGAGACCUGUGACUCUGAGAGAAGAACAGGACCUUUGUGAGCUGCAGUCUGAUUGGACACUCACUCAAGAUGAGACUAACUGAUCUGCCUCUGCACGAGUUCUGGAUUCCUGUGAAAAAGUGGGAUCCUGCUGCUAUUUAUGGGAAAAUGAUGAACAUUUUGCUGAAGUGUUUAACUUCUCUUAAAUGUGUAAAUAAGCUCCUUUAUUAUUUAACAAGCAACAGAAAUAGUCUCAUUUCAGUUGAAAAUGAAAUCUCUGUGUUGGACCAGCAAAAAAUGGAAAAAAAAAUCAUAGGUUGCAAUUAAGAGGUAAAUUUCAUUUUUUAGCUUUGGUUUCAAAAAGAAUAGUUUGAAAGCGUUGAUAUAUCUGAAAAAGAGAUCAAGGAAGUAAGAAGUCUAUAAGAAUUUUGCAAUUGCUAGGCCCAUUCGGGAAUCUGAUCAUGUCACUCAGCAAGGAAAUGCUCUUACCCUGUCUUGAAUAAAACUGUCUUAGGCUGUAUUUUUAUUCAUAUUGCUUGGUUUACAGUUUUAGUAACUUUUCUUUUCAAUAUUGUCAAUAAAUUUCACAUUCUAAAUAA